AAACCAGCACCUCAAGUGGUCAGGAUGAUUAUUGGGCCUAAAGCAUCCGUAGCCUGAUCUGUAAGUUUUCGGUUAAAUCUGUACGCUCAACGUACAGGCUGCCGGGAAUACUGCAGAUCUAGGGAGUGGGAGAGGUAGACGGUACUCGGGAGGAAGUGGUAAAAUGCUUUGAUCUCUCGAUGACCACCUGUGGCGAAGGCGGUCUACCAGAACACGUCCGACGGUGAGGGAUGAAAGCUGGGGGAGCAAACCGGAUUAGAAACCCGAGUAGUCC
rnacentral:rRNA from 1 species